rnacentral:rRNA from 1 species
AAUGAACGUUGGCGACGUGGAUUAGGCAUGCAAGUCGUUCGCUCCGCAAGGGGCGAGGCGCAAGGGUGAGUAAGGCGACGGCAACCAACCCCGGGGGUGGGCAUAGCCGCGGGAAACCGCGGGUAAUUCCCAGCGACGUCGGACGAUGGCAUCAUCGACCGACCAAAGGUGUGAUAUCCGCCCCGGGACGGGCCGUCGUGGCAUCAGGUUGUUGGUGGGGUCACGGCCCACCAAGCCGAAGACGCCUACCGGGCGUGCGAGCGUGGCCCGGCACACUGGGACUGAGACACUGCCCAGACACCUACGGGUGGCUGCAGUCGAGAAUCUUCGGCAAUGGGCGCAAGCCCGACCGAGCGACGUCGCGUGGAGGACGAAGGCCUCGGGUUGUAAACGUCCUGUCGAGGGGGAACGAAGGACCGGUGGAGAGCCGGACGUCGAGUGACCCUCGGAGGAAGCACGGGCUAAGUUCGUG